CACAGAUCACAAGGAGACUAACCAAGAAGGGGCAAGCCAGAGCUAAAUUCACUGGUAGUCCACUCAUCUCUUCGACAUGUGGAAAGUGGUGCUCCUGGGACUAUAUACAAUGUUGGCUGUCAGAGGAUUGGCAAAGGGUGCUCCUUUCGAACCAGAAGAAAAAUGGAAACCUCUAGAUAAUCCUAGAAACAGAGACUUGUUUUUCAGAACGCUCCAGGCGUACUUUUCGGGCCGGGGUCUCGAUCUCAGAAAUUUCCCAGCUACUUUCACUGUGAACAAUGAAGGACCAAGGCCGGUCACGUUGUACUCAGAUCCCAUUGCUUCUGCGUUUGCAGAUUAUGAGGAAAGGAAAAAUUCUUUUCCAAAUGACUUCAGAGGCUAAAAGAUGCUGCUGACCAAGGUGUUAACUUUCGGACUACAUGCAAAGUGCUCACCUCCACAGCAAAAUGCUGCUGCUUUGCCUUGUUCCCUGCUACCUGACAGUUUAAACAUCCCCCCUGCCCCAGUCUUUACCCUGAGGCGUUCCGCCUCGCCGUCGUUCCCGCGUUUGCUGUCUGUUGACGCACGCGUGGUGUUUGGGGGCAGCGUUGGCUGUGUUUAGGUUCGAAUAAAUGGGGGAAAUGCCACCCGCCCUUGUUCAAAAUAGGUAAAUAAAUGUGACCUUUCGGCUUAU
rnacentral:lncRNA from 7 species